rnacentral:misc_RNA from 1 species
GAUGAAGAACGUAGCGAAAUGCGAUACUUGGUGUGAAUUGCAGAAUCCCGUGAACCAUCGAGUCUUUGAACGCAAGUUGCGCCCGAAGCCAUCAGGUUGAGGGCACGUCUGCCUGGGCGUCACAUAUCGUUGCCCAAUGCCUAUUGCAGUGCAAUAGGAAUUUCUAGGGCGAAUGAUGGCUUCCCGUGAGCGUUGUUGCCUCGCGGUUGGUUGAAAAUCGAGUCCUUGGUAGGGUGUGCCAUGGUAGAUGGUGGUCGAGUUAGAACGAUACCGAUCAUGUGCAUGCUCCCCAAAAUAUGGCCUCUAUGACCCACACGCGUCUUUUGACGUUCAUGACGAGACCUCAGGUCAGGCGGGGCUACCCGCUGAAUUUAAGCAUAUCAAUAAGCGGAGGA